rnacentral:lncRNA from 1 species
UAUCUCUUUUAAAAGAGUGCUUUUCGCCUUCUAACACUUUGUGUGAUUUACCUGAUUUGUUUCCUCUUUGUCUCUCAUUCUAACUCUCCUUACUAGAAUGUAAGCUCCAGGAGGGCAGGCACGUGUUUGGUUUUUCAUGUACUUAGAGGAGAGGAAGCAGGAUGUUUAGAAGACACUCAAAAUGUUUGUGGAAAGAAGGAAGGAAGGAUGGAGGGACUUGAUGCCAACCUCCCACCUAGGCCAAGCCAUGCCCUUCUUCCAGGAUAGGAUGGCCAGAUCUUGCCUGCUGGGGCCACAGUGAACCAAGAGUUGGCAUAGGACUUUAGAGCCUGCUACCUGUGUCCCAUGUAUGGACUCGUCUGGACCCCAUCACCACCUGCCAGGGAGCUAAAGUUUCCACUUUACAGGUUCUUCAAGCCACUGCCACUCCCUGGGGCUCAGUUUCCCCACUCGGACAAGCCCCGUCCAGCUGAUGGUGGUCAGUUGGGCUCUAGUGUCUCACUAGGAAGCUAGGCUUCCUACACGGUGGACUCUACUCACAGGCCAGGAGCUUCCAGAGGCCUCCGUGGGAACUCAUGCUCAGCUUGCUUUCCUCCACUUUCCCUUCUCUUCCCAUCCUCUUUCCCUCUUCCCUGGGUCAGGGGAUCUGAAUGGAGGCCAAGCGACUCAGCUGCUCUGCAGGGCAUGCUGCCCAGCAGCCGCUCCAGCAUGCCACUGCGGCCACCAUAGCAGCUGCCUGGGCAGGAAAGGACUUCAUAGGGGGACUGUGACUUCAUGGGGGAACUUGCUUGAAGUGCUACUCACUCUAAGGUUUGAGUGAUGAUGGCGGGACCUCAGCUUAUUAGUGACUUUUGCCUCAAAACGGGUCCAAUGGAGGAAACACCCCAAACAUCCACCAACAAUGAGAAUGGUUGAAUGAUGAAUAAACAAGAUGAGGUGUAUCCA